GCUGAACCGACACGGGUAUAGUGCGAGCCCCUGUCCCUAUGUGUAUAGGCUGCGCGUCAUUGUGCCAUUCGGAAGGGGGGUAUCUAUAUCUGCUCGCAAAGGAAACCUUGCGGCCCUAACAUGUUAGACGAACUUUUGAAAGGCUUCAUAGUGAUCCCUGCCGACCUUCCUUGGGAGUGGGUUAAGAGGCUGAUCACCUCGGGCGAAAGGGUAAAUCAUGACUCAUGGGUAAAGAUGUACAACCUCUGCAGAGUGUUAAAACUAGUAUACUAGCCGUGCUCACGGUUAAGAGCGGCCUUGGGGGUUCUUGCUGCGACGACGAUGAGCUUGUUAAGUUGUUAUGUUCAUUUGAUUAUCGUUUAUGCUAAGAAUUAAUUAUGCUUACACUUGAUCAUGUGAUUAAUGGAUUAUUACUGCUACCUUGACAAUUGCUAUUAAAUUAUGAACAUGCUCUCCACUAUUAAAAGCUAAAUGCAGUUAAACCAGUGUCAGCCAUUUGAGCCUCAUGAACCCCUGGUUAUACUUGUUGAGUACGAUAUGUGCUCACUCUUGCUAUUUCCCACCACUCCAGUAUACUACUAAGAGUUAUCAGAGGAGCGAAGGAGUUACGAAGGACGUUAUCAGGAUACAAGAAGUGCUAGGCAUAUGUUACCCCAGUCAGCCGUCCCUGUGAAGAUUGAGCCUGAAGAUUAGUUAUUGUGUUACGAUUCUCUGAUGUAAGUGUUAAUUAUAAGUAUGUUUCCGCUAUAUAACAUUGUUUUUGAUAUUAUUGCUUCUGUUGUUAUAUGUGUGGACUUCCUGGGCACACAUAUGGCUAGCCUGGUUUUGUUCUUUAAAAUCGGGUGUGACAGAGAUGGAUUAUUACUGCUACCUUGACAAUUGCUAUUAAAUUAUGAACAUGCUCUCCACUAUUAAAAGCUAAAUGCAGUUAAACCAGUGUCAGCCAUUUGAGCCUCAUGAACCCCUGGUUAUACUUGUUGAGUACGAUAUGUGCUCACUCUUGCUAUUUCCCACCACUCCAGUAUACUACUAAGAGUUAUCAGAGGAGCGAAGGAGUUACGAAGGACGUUAUCAGGAUACAAGAAGUGCUAGGCAUAUGUUACCCCAGUCAGCCGUCCCUGUGAAGAUUGAGCCUGAAGAUUAGUUAUUGUGUUACGAUUCUCUGAUGUAAGUGUUAAUUAUAAGUAUGUUUCCGCUAUAUAACAUUGUUUUUGAUAUUAUUGCUUCUGUUGUUAUAUGUGUGGACUUCCUGGGCACACAUAUGGCUAGCCUGGUUUUGUUCUUUAAAAUCGGGUGUGACAGAGUGGUAUCAAAGCAGUGUUGACUGUAGGACGUAUGCCUAGAUAGAACUGGUCGAUUAGAAAAGUCUAAUUUGCUAUAAAACUAUUUUAUUAUCCCUUGACUCUUUAAUUUUGAUUAUUUCUCAAUCCUUGUCCCGUUGUAUUCUCUCCUUGAUAGCUUCCUUUGAGCUAUUAUUGCUUACUCCCUUGGUUUUUGUUCUAUGUAAUUUUACUAAAAGUUUUUUUUUUCCUACCUCAUUCAAAAGUUCGAUAGUCUUUUAUCAUCUCUCAUCUGCCCUUUAGGAUGACCACCAUAUUGAGGAAACACGUAUAGAAUCGAUGAUGUGUUGUGUGCUUGUCUUGUUUGGCGUAUUGCUUGUGUGUCGUCUCUAUUCUUGUGUUUUGAAGGAGGCCCAAAAGUUAUCGUCUUGAGAAGUAGCUCAAUCUUGUUAAGUGGGGUAGCGUCUGCUACCAUCAUCUAUCUUAAGUUUCAAGACCUAUCGACCUAAUGAUCAAUCUUAUCUUUCUUGUAUAUCUCUUUCUUGUAUAUUAAACUUUAUCUUUUCUAUCAUCAAUCGUCAUCUUCUUCUGCUCUUUUGUUAGUCUUUGCCCCUUGAUUGUUUACCUUAUAAUAUAAUGAUCUAAAGGUCAACUUCAUCCUCUUAGUCUACUUUUCUUGUCAUCAAUCUAUGUAUUUCUUGUGAUCGAUUAUUAUUUUUCAACUUAACCUUUAUCCGUCUACAGUUAUUUUAUCAACUCUCAUUAUAGAGCUCGAAAUAACAUUGAAGAACUUACCAAUCCUUGCUAAUUUUAAUCUUUUAUCAUAAAUGUCAUAAUCUUGAAUCAAGGAAUUCUAAGCACUAUAAGAUGUAUCUUUAUCAUUUAUAUUAUCUCUUGCUGAUCUUCACUCCUUGACUUUAGACCUCAUAAUCUGAAGAUCUGUGAUCAACCUUUAUCUAUUUUUUUAACCUUCCUUGAUCUUUCUUUUCUACCUAUGCUGAUCUUCAAUCCUUUGAUCUCAUUUCAUAAAUCCCAAAUGAAUCUUGAGAACAAAUCCUUGACAUUUUUGUCAACCUUUGUUAAUCCUUAAUCUCUAAAUCAUAUCCCGUCAAAAGUAUCAAAACAAUCUUGAAGAUCUGCUUUAUCGUUCUCUCUAGUCUCUCCGAAUCUCGGGACGAGAUUCCUGUUAAGUGGGGUAGAUUGUCACACCCCAAAAUUUUUGAUUUUGGGCUGUGCGUAGAAAACAUUAACAAAAAUAUAUAUUUUGAUAUUUGGAUAAAAUUUACCAAGUUUAGUUUGGAGUCACUGCAAAUUUAGUUAUAGGAGAAUGUUAAUUUUCAAAUUUGUUUUGAAUUAACUUGAUGAGCUUUUGUUGAUGUGAGGUGAUGCUUGCUUGUCGCUUGACUUUGUGUUGUGAGCGGGUGCAGUUUUAAUAAGCGCGUUUAGUAAGUCGUUGAUCUCUAUCCGGCGUGUCUCCAGUUUUUUUUUUUUUCUAUAUAAUCAAGUCUUCUCUUUCUUGAUCAUUAAUCUUUUUAUUUAGAGUUUCCAUAUCCCUUUAUUCUAUUUUAAAUUAUUCCUUUGGGUACACCUUCCAUGAACCGACCUAUUAAAACGUAUGAAGAAUUAUUUUCAGCAUUUUUCCUGGAAUUUAUUUCCACUUGACUCUGAGCAUAAUCUAAUUUCUAGAUGCUCCUAGAUAUCUUUUCAUGAGCUCUAAAUACUUUAUUUGGAUUCAUCUUCCAAUUCACCCAUGAGUUUGUCAUGCUUUUGUUAAAGCUCCCUUUUACUUUGUGUAAAAUUCUUGCUAAUUUGGGCUCAAACCCACCAUCCGACCGCAGCUCAAUUUGUCCGACGUCUUAUCGUAGGGAGACCAGGAAGCCAACUCCUUUUUGAUCUUAAAACGGCCCAUAUCUUCUAGCAUAUAUAUAUAUAUAUCUUGCAACAGAACAGGCUCUUGCUUUUGCCCUAGAUCGUAUCUGCCGCCGCCGGUGCCGACUAAUCUCCCCUAGAGCCAUGCCGUCCUGCUCCAUCCUGGCCACCGCAGUCGUCAUCGGGUACAGUAUUUUUCGGCUGUUGGACGAAUUCAUCUGCUCGUCGAUUUCCUCCGUUUCAUCAAUCGGCGCACUGCAGAAGCUGUUGUCCUCUGUGUUGAUCGGUGGUACUGUGCAGAGGUGGAAGUCCAUGCUGCUGUUACCGAUUACCGCUGCCCGGCGCUGCGUUCUCUGGCUUUCACUCUCACCGACACACAUGGAUCAAGGUAAUUAGGACUGUGGUUUGUGGGUGAAUUUCAGAAUUUUCAGUGCACGUGGAUCGAGUGAGAAAUCAACAUUUAUGUAUUACUUUUGUUAAUUGGUGGUAAAAGAAAUCAGAUUUAGAAUUUCUUUUUGCUCCAUGAAUACGUGAUGUCGUGGAUAAGUUUUGUCACCGUUUUCCUUUAGAAAAACAAAUCUAGAAAUAUAGAGAAAAUACAUUAGCUUGUUUUAGCUAUAAAAUACUCAUUUUAACUCUGAGUUUGUUUGUUCAAGUUGCAUUAGACUCAUAUCAAUGUAAUCUACGCGUUAGUGCUAGUGUUUUUCAUGUCACAUGUUUUCUAUAUAUUUCUAAAUAUUUAAUUGCUCAAUAUCCUUAUAGUUAGUUUUAUAAUUAAAAUAAUAUGGGUUUGUCUAUCCUUUGUAAUUAUGUGAGCAUGAAUUUAAUUAAUAGCAACUUGAAUAUGUUUUAAUUAUAUUUUGCUUAGACAAUCACGAUAUAUACCAUAAACUUAUUUUAGUGCUCACAUGUUACGUAAUUUUAUAAGUUAAAGUUUAACUGGCAUAAACGAUAUAAAAUUAUGUAUGAAUAACAUAUGAUCAUCUCCAACACGUAUCAUGUAUAAUUUGAAUAGAUGUUCUCACAUAUUCUUUAAAAAGUUAAAGUUUACUUUGAUUAAAAUGAUGCUUGCAUGCCUAUAUUUAAAAUAUGAUUAUCGAUUAUAUAAUAGAUAUAUUCAUAAAUAAAAUAUAAUAAGUUCUACUUUGUUUUUAAAAUUAAAAUAUAAUUUGACUAAUUUGAAUUAGUAGGUUACGCAUGAUUGUUCUUAAAUAAAACAUAUUAAGAUCAUUGUUGUCUCUUUUAAAUUAUCCAAAACUACAGGUAGUCAUUUCUUUAUUACGAUAGUUUUGCUUUCGGCGUUUCUCAUAACCUUAGCAUCGACCCGUAACGUUUAGUGCGCUCUCUUUUAAGGCUUUCUUUUUUUGAUUGGUGUGUUGUUCUUAGUUUCUUUUAUUUGUUGCUUUGUAUGUUUGCCUAUGCGUGGUGCUUCAUGCGAGUAGACGAGAACUGUUUGUGGGCAUUGAAGAUCAGAAGAUGAUGACAGAAAGCUGAUGAUGUGAGGAUUAAGCAAGUGUUUAAGGCAAGUAUAACUUGGGAUCAUCCUUGUUACCUAUUCACUUAUAACUACACAUAUAUGUCAUAUGCAUGCUAUCACCUUGUCGACCUUAGCAAAAUCAUAGAUGAUUGUUACCUGGAUUCCUUGCUACCUACUUGAUAUGCAUUUGGUGUAGAUGUGCUAGUGCUUGAUAUAAUCCAUGAUCUUGUAAGAUGAUUAAUAGCUAUGCAAUGAACGUUAAAAGAUGACAAAUAACUAUAUGAGAUCUUGUCUGUAAGUGAUCACCGGGACAACAGUGCAACCACGAGGGCUAUAAUGGCUCUGGCUUUAGCUCAGUAUGAAGACCUUUUCUAGCUUGUUAGAGGUUACCCGAAAGGGCGGAGGGGCUGAACCGACACGGGUAUAGUGCGAGCCCCUGUCCCUAUGUGUAUAGGCUGCGCGUCAUUGUGCCAUUCGGAAGGGGGGUAUCUAUAUCUGCUCGCAAAGGAAACCUUGCGGCCCUAACAUGUUAGACGAACUUUUGAAAGGCUUCAUAGUGAUCCCUGCCGACCUUCCUUGGGAGUGGGUUAAGAGGCUGAUCACCUCGGGCGAAAGGGUAAAUCAUGACUCAUGGGUAAAGAUGUACAACCUCUGCAGAGUGUUAAAACUAGUAUACUAGCCGUGCUCACGGUUAAGAGCGGCCUUGGGGGUUCUUGCUGCGACGACGAUGAGCUUGUUAAGUUGUUAUGUUCAUUUGAUUAUCGUUUAUGCUAAGAAUUAAUUAUGCUUACACUUGAUCAUGUGAUUAAUGGAUUAUUACUGCUACCUUGACAAUUGCUAUUAAAUUAUGAACAUGCUCUCCACUAUUAAAAGCUAAAUGCAGUUAAACCAGUGUCAGCCAUUUGAGCCUCAUGAACCCCUGGUUAUACUUGUUGAGUACGAUAUGUGCUCAGUCUUGCUAUUUCCCACCACUCCAGUAUACUACUAAGAGUUAUCAGAGGAGCGAAGGAGUUACGAAGGACGUUAUCAGGAUACAAGAAGUGCUAGGCAUAUGUUACCCCAGUCAGCCGUCCCUGUGAAGAUUGAGCCUGAAGAUUAGUUAUUGUGUUACGAUUCUCUGAUGUAAGUGUUAAUUAUAAGUAUGUUUCCGCUAUAUAACAUUGUUUUUGAUAUUAUUGCUUCUGUUGUU
rnacentral:lncRNA from 1 species